rnacentral:rRNA from 2 species
AGAGUUUGAUCAUGGCUCAGAACGUACGCUGGCGGCACGCUUAUACAUGCAAGUCGAACGAAGUAGCAAUACUUAGUGGCGGACGGGUGAGUAUGAUGUGGGUAUCUGCCUAUUGGUUUGGAAUAACACGGGGAAACUUGUGCUAAUACUGAAUAAGCCUUCACAGGGAAAGCUUUAUGCGCCGAUAGAUGAGCCCGCACUUGAUUAGCUUGUUGGUGAGGUAAUAGCUCACCAAGGCUACGAUCAAUAGCUGAUCUGAGAGGAUGAUCAGCCACAUUGGGACUGAGACACGGCCCAAACUCCUACGGGAGGCAGCAGUAGGGAAUAUUGCACAAUGGAGGAAACUCUGAUGCAGCGAUGCCGCGUGAGUGAAGAAGGCCUUUGGGUUGUAAAGCUCUUUCGUCGGGGAAGAAAAUGACUGUACCCGAAUAAGAAGGUCCGGCUAACUUCGUGCCAGCAGCCGCGGUAAUACGAAGGGACCUAGCGUAGUUCGGAAUUACUGGGCUUAAAGAGCACGUAGGUGGUUAGAAAAGUUAGUGGUGAAAUCCCAAGGCUUAACCUUGGAACUGCCACUAAAACUUUUUAACUAGAGUAUGAUAGAGGUAAGCGGAAUUUCUAGUGUAGAGGUGAAAUUCGUAGAUAUUAGAAAGAACACCAAUUGCGAAGGCAGCUUUCUGGAUCAUUACUGACACUGAGGUGCGAAAGCAUGGGUAGCGAAGAGGAUUAGAUACCCUCGUAGUCCAUGCUGUAAACGAUGUGUGCUAGACGUUGGAAAUUUUAUUUUCAGUGUCGCAGCAAAAGCGUUAAGCACACCGCCUGGGGAGUACGACCGCAAGGUUAAAACUCAAAUGAAUUGACGGGGACCCGCACAAGUAGUGGAGCAUGUGGUUUAAUUCGAAGAUACGCGCAGAACCUUACCAACACUUGACAUGUUCGUCGCGACUUUAAGAGAUUAAAGUUUUCGGUUCGGCCGGACGAAACACAGGUGCUGCAUGGCUGUCGUCAGCUCGUGUCGUGAGAUGUUGGGUUAAGUCCCGCAACGAGCGCAACCCUUACUUUUAGUUGCUACCAUUUAGUUGGGCACUCUAAAAGAACUGCCAGUGAUAAGCUGGAGGAAGGUGGGGAUGACGUCAAGUCCUCAUGGCCCUUACGUGUUGGGCUACACACGUGCUACAAAGGUACUUACAGUGAGAAGCGAAGAGGCGACUCUAAGCCAAUCCCAAAAAAGUACCUCAGUUCGGAUUGUACUCUGCAACUCGAGUACAUGAAGCUGGAAUUACUAGUAAUCGCGGAUCAGCGCGCCGCGGUGAAUACGUUCCCGGGUCUUGUACACACCGCCCGUCACACCAUGGAAGUUGGUUACACCUUAAGGCAAAGCUUAAAACCUUUGACUACGGUACGAUCAGCGACUGGGGUGAAGUCGUAACAAGGUAGCCGUAGGGGAACCUGUGGGUGGAUCACCUCCUU